GAAAUUCCCUACGCACUCUUCGUAUCUCCAUUUUUUCAACUAGGACUUCCACGUUCAUUGAACUAUGGUGGCAUCGGAAGUACAAUUGCUCACGAGCUGCUGCAUUCCUUCAGCGACGAAGGUACGGACAAAUGCCAGAAAAGACGAAGUCUUCAGUGCAACAUCUCGAAGAACUCCUUUGAAUUGUUUAAUAACCAAACUGCUUGCUUCAAGGAACAAUACAAAGCGGCCAACAAGAAACUGCUUGUGGAACUUGAUGAUAAUUACAACGAAAGUACGAGCGCUGAAGCACGCG
rnacentral:lncRNA from 1 species